GCAGUGGUGGUUCAGUGGUAGAAUUCUUACCUUCCCUGCAGGAGACUGGGGUUCGAUUCCCAGCCAUGGUA
rnacentral:tRNA from 1 species